CUGAUGGCGACCGGCGCACGGGUGAGUAACACGUAUCCAACCUGCCUCAUACUCGGGGAUAGCCUUUCGAAAGAAAGAUUAAUAUCCGAUAGCAUAUAUUUCCCGCAUGGGUUUUAUAUUAAAGAAAUUCGGUAUGAGAUGGGGAUGCGUUCCAUUAGUUUGUUGGGGGGGUAACGGCCCACCAAGACUACGAUGGAUAGGGGUUCUGAGAGGAAGGUCCCCCACAUUGGAACUGAGACACGGUCCAA
rnacentral:rRNA from 1 species